GCCUGCCCCUUCCCCCGCCUCAGGCAAACGACAGGAGGGCAGAGACAGGAAAACAGCCAGCCGAGCGAAUAGUUUUGUUUUGAACAGGCAUUGUUGUGAGAGCUAACUUUCGUGGAGCUAAAAAGACUUAGCUAACCACUAGCUUCAAAUAAAACCGCGCGACGAAAGCCAUUUAAGCGCUUCUUGUGAACCUGAUAACGUCAGCUUGACAAAUAUGGUGAUUUUGUCAUCCGCAAUAAGACCACUCGCUUCCAAGCUUAACCGACAGCUCGUCAGACAUGCCAAGACUCAACGGAUAACGCCUGUCAGGAGAUGCAACCUCAUUGCCUGCUCAAGCAAAUAUGUGCUGUCGCAGAUGCAUCCCAUGUGGCAGGGACCCCUCGCGGUACCAGGAGGUGAGCGUCAGUCCCCGAUCGACAUCGCUGUGCGAAAGAGUGUCUUUGAUUCGGAGCUGAAGCCUCUGGUGACAGAUUACGACCCGCACACCUGCCAACAGAUCUGGAACAAUGGCUACUCCUUCCUGGUCGAGUAUGAUGACACUACAGACAAGUCCACGCUGAAAGGCGGCCCCCUGCAGGACAGAUUCAGGUUGUGCCAGUUCCACUUCCACUGGGGUGAGAGCAACGCCUGGGGGUCAGAGCACACCGUGGACAGGAGGCUGUUCCCUGCAGAGCUCCACUUGGUCCACUGGAACUCUGACAAGUACAGUUUGUUCGAGGAGGCAGUAAUGGAGGAGAAUGGACUGGCUGUUAUUGGAGUCUUUCUUAAGGUGGGGAAGAGACAUGAGGGGCUGCAGAAAUUGGUAGAUGCUCUGCCUGCUAUCAGACACAAGAGCAGUGUAGUGGAGUUUACCAGGUUCGACCCUGUCUGUCUGUUGCCUAGCAACACCGAUGACUACUGGACCUACAACGGCUCUCUGACAACACCCCCUUUGACCGAGUCCGUCACCUGGAUCAUUAUGAAGCAGCAUAUAGAAGUCAGCCAUGACCAGCUGGCUGUCUUCCGGAGCCUUCUGUUUACAUCCGCUGAGGAGGAAAUACAGAAGAGUAUGGUGAACAACUUCCGUGUGCAGCAGUCUCUCUGCGGUCGCACCGUCCGCUCUUCCUUCACUCCUUUCCUACAGGAGGCGCCGUCGGCUGAAGACAACAAACACACCUACUGACAACGCUGGACCCAGUACACACAGUAACGAACACCAUGACCACUGGUACACACAGUGACCAUACCAAAACUGUCUUCACUCUGUGUUCAGCUGCCCACACUCUUCUUUUGUUUUAAUUAGAAACUGUAAAGCUGAAAAAUUUCUUUGGAUUUUGGGGAUUGAAGACAAAUACCAAUAAGGAUGUUUGCUGUGUGGAAAAUUUGUAGUUUUACUAACUUUCUUAACAGGAAUUGGAUUUCUGCUAAGCUGAAGUGAAAACUCAACAACACUGUGUGCUGGCCACAGUACUACAGCAGAGUCUGCUCUGACAGCCAAGUGGUGAUGUUUUUAUUCACAUUAGCUGCUGCUGGCUUACAGCAGAAAGCACAGGAGAUUAUAUCAGACUGGAGCCAUUACCUUGGAAGUGUGUCUCUCCAGUAGAAUACAUAAUAUAUCAAAUAAUCUAAUUUCAUUGAGGGCAUCAUCAUUCUAAUCAUCUAUACAUUAUUAAGAUGAUUAGAAUGUAUUUUUUUUGUUAUCUGUUACUAAGAGAUUAUCUAUAUACAUUACAUCUGACAUUCAGAAGCUUUCAAAAGUCCCGCUCACACAGUAAAAUAUUAAAGAAACUUUACUGAACCUUAGGUCUUCUUCUCAAAACUAUUAAUAUGUUACUAAUAAAGACAAACAUCCAUGGUUACUGUAGCAGCACAUACAUGCAUUGUAGGAAUAUUUUGAUUGAAAGAAGAAGUUUUCUUCCAUGACUAUUUUUCUUUUUUAA